CGUUCCAACCGGCCCGGCCCAAGGCUUCCAGGUUUUCCCUGGGAAAGAUGCCGUGGGUGUCGAUCUUGUCGGCGUUGGGGCGG
rnacentral:tRNA from 1 species